AGCAGCCGCGGUAAUUCCAGCUCCAAUAGCGUAUAUUAAAGUUGUUGCAGUUAAAAAGCUCGUAGUUGAAUUUCGGGGUUAGUAGGUUGGUCAUGCCUCUGGUAUGUACUGGUCUCACUGAUUCCUCCUUCCUGAUGAACCUUAAUGCCAUUUAUUUGGUGUUUUGGGGAAUUUGGACUGUUACUUUGAAAAAAUUUAGAGUGUUUAAAGCAAGCUAACGCUUGAAUACAUUAGCAUGGAAUAAUGAAAUAGGACGUUCGAUCCUAUUUUGUUGGUUUCUAGGAUUGACGUAAUGAUUAAUAGGGAUAGUUGGGGGCAUUAGUAUUCAAUUGUCAGAGGUGAAAUUCUUGGAUUUAUUGAAGACUAACUACUGCGAAAGCAUUUGCCAAGGAUGUUUUCAUUAAUCAAGAACGAAAGUUAGGGGAUCGAAGACGAUCAGAUACCGUCGUAGUCUUAACCAUAAACUAUGCCGACUAGGGAUCGGAUGAUGUUAAUUUUUUAAUGACUCAUUCGGCGCCUU
rnacentral:rRNA from 1 species